rnacentral:misc_RNA from 1 species
AACGCACAUUGCGCCCGGUGGCAUUCCGCCGGGCAUGCCUGUUCGAGCGUCAUUAUAACCACUCAAGCCUGGCUUGGUAUUGGGGUUCGCGGUCCCGCGGCCCCUAAAAUCAGUGGCGGUGCCGGUGGGCUCUAAGCGUAGUAAAUCUCCUCGCUAUAGGGUCCCUCCGGUUGCUCGCCAGAACCCCCAAUUUUUUUAAGGUUGACCUCGGAUCAGGUAGGGAUACCCGCUGAACUUAA